rnacentral:tRNA from 1 species
GGGAUGUUGAUCCAGUGGUUAAGAUGGCUGCCUUCCAAGCAGCUUACCGGGGUUCGAAUCCCCGACAUCUCA